AAAAAAUCCUUUCUUCCCUUUUAUCUCUUGGCUCUCCCUAAGUUUGGCCAUGGGGCCGACAAGUCUCCGCAGCCGCCUUCGAUGGCCGAAAAUCACCAAAAUUUUCCCAGGGACUCCUUUUUUUCUCGUAGAACUCCAAUCUGGAGUCGGAAUCAUCGAAAAUCUCCAAAAGGGAGAGAAACCUUUCGGCCUCUACCUCUCUGACGACGACACAACAGGUAAAGAAAAAACUUCCUUUUUUUUUAUUUUUUGUGUUUCAAAAAUAAAAAAAAAAGGCAACCUUUCUUUUUUGAACUUUGUUUUUGUUUUUUUGCUUCGAUUUUUUUAUUUCGAUUCUCUCCUCUUCUUUUUUGUUACAAUAGUUUUCGAUCUUUGUAACUGAAAAUAUUACAAUAUUGUUGUUUAAUUUUUGCUUUCGAUUGCUUGUUCUUGUGCUUUUUUCCUUUUUUUUCUCUUCUUAUAGGGGCGGUGGAAGUCAACGAGGCUGGGGCAAUUACUGUUUUGGUGAAAGGGGCAAAAGUCUCAGGCGCCGCGUCCGCUGACAUGUCGAGGAGUAGCGCGGCAGGGGGCUAGGGCAACUAGGGUUUCCUGUCUUAGUUUUAGGAUUUGGGCCACUGGACUUGUGUUGAGUUUGUAAAAUUGGACUAUUAAUGGACUCUUCUGUUUAUUAUUAAUUUUUUAUUUUUAGUUGUUAUCUUAUUUGGGCGUAGGCUAAAUUGGGCUCUAC
rnacentral:lncRNA from 1 species